AGUGAACGCUGGCGGUAGGCCUAACACAUGCAAGUCGAACGGCAGCACAGUAAGAGCUUGCUCUUACGGGUGGCGAGUGGCGGACGGGUGAGGAAUACAUCGGAAUCUACUUUUUCGUGGGGGAUAACGUAGGGAAACUUACGCUAAUACCGCAUACGACCUACGGGUGAAAGCAGGGGAUCUUCGGACCUUGCGCGAUUGAAUUAGCCGAUGUCGGAUUAGCUAGUUGGCGGGGUAAAGGCCCACCAAGGCGACGCUCCGUAGCUGGUCUGAGAGGAUGAUCAGCCACACUGGAACUGAGACACGGUCCAGACUCCUACGGGAGGCAGCAGUGGGGAAUAUUGGACAAUGGGCGCAAGCCUGAUCCAGCCAUACCGCGUGGGUGAAGAAGGCCUUCGGGUUGUAAAGCCCUUUUGUUGGGAAAGAAAAGCAGCAGGUUAAUACCCCGCUGUUCUGACGGUACCCAAAGAAUAAGCACCGGCUAACUUCGUG
rnacentral:rRNA from 1 species